rnacentral:rRNA from 1 species
UACAGAGGGGGCAAGCGUUGUUCGGAAUUACUGGGCGUAAAGGGCGCGUAGGCGGCCUUCUAAGUCGAACGUGAAAUCCCCGGGCUCAACCCGGGAACUGCGUCCGAUACUGGAAGGCUUGAAUCCGGGAGAGGGAUGCGGAAUUCCAGGUGUAGCGGUGAAAUUCGUAGAUAUUGGGAAGAACACCGGUGGCGAAGGCGGCGACCUGGUCCGAUACUGACGCUGAGGCGCGAAAGCGUGGGGAGCAAACAGG